CGGCGGACGGGUGAGUAACACGUGGAUAACCUACCUAUAAGACUGGGAUAACUUCGGGAAACCGGAGCUAAUACCGGAUAAUAUUUUGAACCGCAUGGUUCAAAAGUGAAAGACGGCCUUGCUGUCACUUAUAGAUGGAUCCGCGCUGCAUUAGCUAGUUGGUAAGGUAACGGCUUACCAAGGCAACGAUGCAUAGCCGACCUGAGAGGGUGAUCGGCCACACUGGAACUGAGACACGGUCCAG
rnacentral:rRNA from 1 species